UCCCCUGCUCAGCACCCAUCAGUGACAGUCAUCUUCUGGUCAGGGCACAGGCCAGUAGAGAGCACGACUUAGCCUGGUGGAAAGGACCCCUGCCCCACAUGGCGCCUUUCCCAUAGCCUGAGGCUGCUCCUCUCCCAGGAGAAUGCUGUUUUCACUGCAGUGGAAAAGUCCUACCCCAGAGGCUGCUGUGGUUGCACGAAGUAGAACCUACUCAAGCUACUAAAGCAGAAAUGAAAAGCUACAUCCUGAGGACACAGGUCUGAGACCCCAGUGCAAGAAGCAUGGCCUCAGCAAAGUCUAGGACAAGAGCUUCAAAAUCACCAGGGGGAGAAGACCCUCGGAAUCCCACCUAUAAAAGCUGGGCUGCUGCCUCUAUCCUUGUCCGCCCUGAUGACAGCAGUUCUUGUGGCCGUCCACGGGGUGCCCCACGGAGCCUCCCACCCCCACCUCCCCAUCACCAAUUCAGCUCCAGCUCGGUUGUAUCUGAUUUGCUGGCAACUUCAUGGAGACCAAA